CUGCUGCGGAUUCAGAAAAAAGAGCUCAUUUAGGAGAACCGGAAUCGGUACCGGUCCGAACUUCAUCUGGAAAACAUGUGAGCUUCAUCAUCAUCAUCAUCAUCAUCAUCAUCAUGGUUCAGCUGCUGAUUCUAGAACCAUCAGACCCAGCUGGUUCUGGUUCUGAUGGUUCUGGUGGUUCUGAUGGUUCCGGUUCUGAUGGUUCUGGUCCUCAGCAGCUUUCAGAGUUUAUGGAGGAAAAGAUGCUGGGAACCUCAGAAAAUAUCAAAAUAUUUAUUUAUUUAUUGUGUUAAAUGUUUCUGUAGAUUAUUUUUGUCCAAAAAUGUAAAAACUUCCAGCGGAAGUGAAUAAAGUCAAACAGGUUUCUGGCCUACGGAGCUCCACUAAGACCAAAAGUCAAAAAUGCCGUUUGUUCUUUUUCUUUCUUCCAUAGUUACAGGUACAGCAGGGAGUUGAUUGGCUGCCUGGACGGACGACUGGUUGACCGACUGGUUGACCGACUGGUUGACCGACUGGUGAAAAUCCAUGUGACCACCAGCAGCAGGAGGCCCAAACAGUGACCAGUCCGCCAUUAUGGAUGUGAUGUUACGACCCAGAGCCGUUCUGUCCCUGAACCCUGAUGAGACUUUGACUGAGCCCACACAUUUUUUUAAUUAAACAUUUUGAACGAUUGUGCAGAAUCACGUGGCAGGUACGUACAUGAUGAAGUCAAGUCUGAUAGGCUUAAGGCACACAUAAAAUUACAAGAUAACAAUAAAAAAGUAAAAUAAAAAUAGAAAUAAAUAGAAUUUGUCAGACAUCAAACAGAAAAAGACAGAGGAACUAGUUCUCAAAAAGAUCCAGUUCAUUAUCAGCUGAUUGUUCUGCUUGUUCUCCAUCAGUUUUAAGGCUCUGAAGGUUUUUAAAGUCAGUUUUUCUAUUUUCACAUUUACAGGAUCAGCAGGUUGUUCAGUACCAGAUCGGUUCUGGUCCAAAUGUUACAUCCUCUGUUUUUCAGAGGUGAGGCAGGAAGAGUUUAGUUGAGAUCCAGACCUGAAAGUUUCCCCAAAAGGUCCAUCUGUUGGUGUUAAAGUUGAAUCUUUGUGGUAAAAAUUCCCUGGAUGGAAAAACAUUAUUGAGGAUUUUAAUGAACUUUUUUAGCUUUAGGACUCUGAGGAGAUUUAAGGUCAGCAGUUCUCCACUUAUUAACCUUUGAACCAGGAAACGAAUUUAAAAUGGAGUUUUUAUUUGGUCAGACAGGAAAUAUAAAGUUAGUUAGA